UUCAGUUUUCUCGGCUGCAUGCCGAACGAAUACAGUCCCAUCGUAUCUGGCGACCUACUACCUACACACGCACCUAGCGCGUACUCGCCUAUGGGGCGAUGUGCUCAUACCCCGUGACCCAGCUGCCACAUCCGCCCGAACGAGACACAAUUCGAAAUGUGAAUCCCCUCCUGCAGACGCAGCCUCGUCGCCGGGAAUCAGAUCGACCCUCCAUCCACAUAGCGCUCGGAUCUACAGAUUUCUUCUUGAUUUGACCAAUGGAUCUUGGUGCAGAGUUAUUCACAUGGAUCUCCGGUUCAGCUUCUGAUCCCAGCCGUUCACUCCCGAGGGCUUCCCAGAUCUGGGAUUGCUAGAGAAGCAGGAGGAUGAUAUGCUAGAGGAGGAGGACGACGACAAGUGCAUUCCUCCAAAUCUCCAGAGGUAUUCACCUUCCUCAAGCCAAGAUGUUGAGAAACAUGGUGUUACCGAUUCUGGAUCUCAAGUUCCUGAGGCCACGCAAGAUUUUUCCUACAUCCCAGAUAUUGACAACAUCGACAGCCACAAAGAGCCCUCAUCUAAUCGCAACGCACUCCAGAUCCGUGGCCUAAAAGUUAACAUCUCCAAUAUACGUAGGGUCUGACCCCGACUAGUAUCGUGGCAUUGCUAGAGGAAGGGGAGGAGGACGAUGAGUGCGGGGACGGAGGGAAAUAUGGUGUUACCGAUUCUCCUUCCUCAAGUUUUGCAUCUCAAGUUCAUGAGGCCAUGGAAGAUUUUUUUCAAUGUCCCAAAUAUUGAUAACACUAACAGUCACAGAUUAGGCCCCGUCUAAAUCUCAGCGCACUCCAACUCCGUGGCCUCAAAGGGUCCCACUUGGCAAGAUACCCUACCGCCGCGCCUCAUUAUCAGGAAGGAAAAGUGCUUUGGAGAUGGCCAUGAGAAAUUAUGCAGAUCGGGCAAAGCCUUCAAUCUCUCGUGCGGUGUCCGUGGACAGCUUAUGUUCAUUACCCUUGGAGUGCGCCCCAGAUCGGAGAUCGCCAGAGGAGGAAGACAGCGGCUAGUGUUCCUCCACGUCGCUUCUCCUUCCUCAAGCCAAGAUGGAGAGAAAUCUGCUGCUAGCGACGCAGAAUCUGAAGUUCCGGAGGCCAUGCCAGACUUCUGUCCUUCCAACUCCGUGACUGGGAAGGGGUGGCUUGGGUUACAAGAUCAUGCCGCAACUGAACUGCAUGACCAAGAUAUGCCUGUCAUAACAGGAGCAACUAUUCUAUCAAGCUCAAUGAAUGUAGCACCAUGCAAAAGUGAUCGAAGCAGGCCAAUGAACGCAAGAGCAAAGCUAGGUUAUGAGAAUGUCAGCAAGCCAAGAUCAAAGUUUUGUUCUUUUUGCAGAGGUAAGGGCCAUACAGCAUUCUGAUACCCCUCAAAGGGAGGUGUACCAAAGACACAAAGGAAAGUCCCAAAGUGUAUUGAGUGCGGUCUUGCAGGCCAUGAGAGAAUUUCAUACUCGAUAAGAAUGUUCAUUUUGUUCUCGGAAGAUGAAAUUGGUGUUAGGAAAGAUGUUGUAGGCUUUCUUUUGUUGUGUUGUUUCGCCAGAUCAAAUUGGUGUUGUAGGCUUUCUUUUGUUGUCGGAAAUUAGGUUCAUUUUGUGACCAAGUAGUGAAUAUGUAAACUCAGAAAUGCUAUGAGUAUGGUUAAAGUUAGUCGUGGUACUUAUUUCAGUA